CCGUUUUCAAACUGACCCUGUAAAGGGGGAAAAAAAAAAAAAGUACAACCAAAAGUCUUCUUGAUCCCCAUGUUUGCCUAAAUUAUUUUUGCUGUCAUGUUACUAAAUCCACAUGGCACUAGGAGUCAGGGACACUAACAACUUAUUCAGCCAUUAAAAAACCAAAAUAAGGUAAAUUAAAACAGAGUUUUACUGUUACAGUAACAUUCAGGUGAACAUUAACGUGCUCUUGGAUGUUUUGCUGAAAUGGAAUUGCUCCCCACGAUAUGAAGGUCCAGUGUGUCAACGGCCCAGCUUCUUUUGAGUUUAGCCAGACUAGAUUCACUUGCUGUGGAAUGACUUCAUGCUUUUCCACCACUUUUCGAACAACUGCAAAGCCUUUGUUCUUACAUUAGACCCUGCCUUCAUUUGGCUUCACUUGGCGUGAGCGUAUUGUUGAUAGGGUAAGGCAGACUCUGUUCUGUUCUCAUUAGCCUGCGGUCCUCAAGUGGCACUUCCUGGCAGCGGUGACAUAUGGCAAAGAAACACAAAUGCAGACCCCAAAUCCCAGGGCAGUGCUGGAUUAUAAAUGGCUUAUCCAAACU